rnacentral:misc_RNA from 1 species
AAGUCGUAACAAGGUUUCCGUAGGUGAACCUGCGGAAGGAUCAUUAUCGAGUUUUGAAAUGGGUUGUAGCUGGCCUUUUUUUAUGAGGCAUGUGCACGCCCUACUCAUCCACUCUUAAAUCUUAUGUGCAUCUUUGUAGAGUUUGGUGAAAGUCAGUUAUAAGACUGAUGGGAUCUGACUCUAUGUGUUUUAUUACAAACGCCUUAGUUUAUAGAAUGUUAUCUUGCGUCUAACGCAAUAUAAAUAUAACUUUCAGCAACGGAUCUCUUGGCUCUC